UGCCAGCCGCCGCGGUAAUACGGGGGGGGCUAGCGUUGUUCGGAAUUACUGGGCGUAAAGCGCGCGUAGGCGGAUUAGUCAGUUGGAGGUGAAAUCCCGGAGCUCAACUCCGGAAUUGCCUUCAAUACUGCUAGUCUUGAGUUCGAGAGAGGGUGGUGGAAUUCCCAGUGUAGAGGUGAAAUUCGUAGAUAUUUGGAAGAACACCAGUGGCGUAAGCGGCUAACUGGCUCGUAUCUGACGCUGAGACGCGAAAGCGUGGGUAGCAAACAGGAUUAGAUA
rnacentral:rRNA from 1 species